rnacentral:lncRNA from 1 species
AUAUAUUUUACAAUAUACUAAUGACUACUAUACAAGAUAUUGAUUUAAAAAAAAUAAAAUUCAGAACCACCAGAACCGGAACCGCAGAUCCAAAUAGACCCAGAACCGGAACCGGAUACAGCCUUAUAAGGGAGACACAAUCCAAAACACAAAUCAUCAAUGGAUAGCCCCGCCAAGCCUCACCCAACCCCGGGUGAGUAGUACGAAAAACUCUAGGGCCCCUAUCCUACAACCUUGAUA